rnacentral:rRNA from 1 species
ACAUACGACCAUAGGGUGUGGAAAAUAGGGCUUCCCGUCCGCUCAGCCGUACUCAAGCCACACGCCGGGAGGUUAGUAGUUGGGUGGGUGACCACCAGCGAAUCCCUUCUGUUGUAUGU